AUGGCGGGUGAACAUUGGUACGACGGUCUUCAUAAAGGGUAUGACAAAGAGCAUCGUGCGCGGGACAUUGAGAAUCACAGGGAACUAAAACCUAUGCGCAUGAGGGGUCAUAGUGCCCACGACUGGCUGUGCGACGAGCGGUAUGGGCCAUACUUCGAGAGAUUGGGCCUUCUCCCGUUUGUGCUUCAGUUCAAGCGGCAUGCUCCGUUGAUCAACCACGGGGCGAUGACCGCACUUAUUGACCGUUGGAGGCCAGAGACACACUCGUUCCACUUGUCAUGUGGAGAGAUGACCGUGACCUUGGAGGACAUGGCGAUGAUCAGUGGCCUUCCAAUCAAUGGAGAAGCUUUGACCGGCACCACCAUAACUGCUAAUUGGCGAGAUCGUGUUGGCCAAUUGACAGGUGUCUUCCCCGUGCCUCCUGAAGAAGGCGAGCAUGACAGUGAGAAAGUGUUGCAUCAUUGGCUCCGAGAG
rnacentral:rRNA from 1 species